UACGUAGGUGACAAGCGUUGUCCGGAUUUACUGGGCGUAAAGAGCGCGCAGGCGGUCGAUCAAGUCGAGUGUGAAAGCCCCCGGCUCAACUGGGGAGGGUCAUUCGAUACUGAUCGACUCGAAGGCAGGAGAGGGUAGUGGAAUUCCCGGUGUAGUGGUGAAAUGCGUAGAUAUCUGGAGGAACACCGGUGGCGAAGGCGGCAUCCUGGACCGGUAUUGACGCUGAGGCGCGAAAGCUAGGGGAGCAAACGGG
rnacentral:rRNA from 1 species